rnacentral:lncRNA from 1 species
AUCAAUGAGAUCCUCAACAUACGUACCAAGGGCCGGACAUGGUACAUUCUUUCACUGACCCUCUGCCGUUUCCUGGCCUGGAAUUAUUUUGCACACCUUCGUUUGGAGGUUUUACAGCUGACCCGCCACCCUGAGAACUGGACCCUGCAAGCCCGGUGGCGGCUUGUGGGGCUGCCCGUCCACUUGCUCUUUUUGCGGUUCUACAAGCGUGACAAAGACGAGCAUUACCGGACCUAUGAUGCCUACUCCACUUUCUACCUGAAUUCCAGUGGCCUCAUUUGUCGCCAUCGUCUAGAUAAAGUGAGUCCUAGGUAGGGCUGGGUGGGGUAAAGGGUAGAACAUUUGUGUGCCUCCCCCAACUGGCAUUAACCUUUCUCCCUGCAGCUGAUGCCUUCACACUCACCUCCAACGCCUGUGAAGAAGCUGCUAGUGGGAGCCCUGGUGGCCCUGGGGCUGUCAGAGCCAGAACCUGACUUAAACCUGUGUUCCAAGCCCUGAUCCUUGACCUUGGAGUGGAGGCAGCACUGAAGACUGCUACGCCCAAGAGAAGGAGGUGGAGGCAGCCAAGAAUCUCAGGAGCCAGCUUCCUCUCCUCGUUUCUCUCCUUCCUUCCUUUCCAUCUCAUGCUGUGUAAAGCUGCUGUGUAAUUUAACUUGUAAAUAAUAAAGUUUAACUGACUAUAUGAGAUAGAA